GUCCUAAGGCGAGGCCGACAGUCGUAGUCGAAUGGAUGAACGGGUGGAUAUUCCCGUACCGACCAUGGACCGGCAAAACCGAGACGGUGAGUACUAACCUCCGCCUCGUGGUGGUUCCUUCCUUCGGGUUGGUUCCGCCGCGUGGUGUUGGGAGCGUAGCCGCAGUAGGUCAGCGCAGGGGUGACACGGAAUGGGAGCCGGCCGCGGAGGUGGUUUUCCGUGGUCAAGCACGCAGCCAGUCAUGUAGGCAAAUCCGCAUGGCGCGCAUGGCGAGGUGUGAUGAUGGGAGCCGUUAUGGCUCGAUAUCCGGUUGUCCAGGCCGUCGAGAAAAGCCUCGGCGUGAGGGCCAUGGCCGCCCGUACCCCAAACCGACACUGGUGGUCAGGUAGAGAAUACCAAGGCGAUCGAGCGAAUCCUGGUCAAGGAACUCGGCAAAUCACUCCCGUGCCUUCGGUAUAAGGGAGACCCGCUGGGGUGAACCGGCUAGCCCGGGGAGCUUUGGUGGGUGGCACAGACCAGGGGGUAGCGACUGUUUACCAAAAACACAGGUGCAUGCGAAGGCGAAAGCCGCUGUAUAUGCACUGACGCCUGCCCGGUGCCGGAAGGUUAAGAGGAUCCGUCAAUCCCUUCGGGGACGAAGCGGUGAAUUCAAGCCCCGGUAAACGGCGGUGGUAACUAUAACCAUCCUAAGGUAGCGAAAUUCCUUGUCGGGUAAGUUCCGACCUGCACGAAUGGCGUAACGACUUCCCCACUGUCUCGACCAGGAGCUCGGCGAAAUUGCAGUACGAGUAAAGAUGCUCGUUAAGCGCAGAAGGACGAAAAGACCCCGGGACCUUUACUAUACCUUGGUAUUGGCGUUAGGCGCGGAUUGUGUAGCAUAGGCGGGAGGCUUCGAAGCGGGUGCGCCAGCAUUCGUGGAGCCGCAAGGUGAAAUACCGCUCUGUUCUCGUUUGACGUCUAACCUCGACAAGUCAUCCUUGUCAGGGACAGUGCCUGGCGGGUAGUUCAACUGGGGCGGUUGCCUCCCAAAGAGUAACGGAGGCGCUCAAAGGUCCGCUCAGCCCGGUUGGCAAUCGGGUGUCGAGUGUAAUCGCACAAGCGGGCUUGACUGCGAGGACGACGGUCCGAGCAGGGACGAAAGUCGGAGAUAGUGAUCCGGUGCCGGCGCACGGGCGCGGCAUCGCUCAACGGAUAAAAGGUACUCCGGGGAUAACAGGCUGAUCAUUCCCAAGAGUCCAUAUCGACGGGAUGGUUUGGCACCUCGAUGUCGGCUCGUCGCAUCCUGGGGCUGGAGCAGGUCCCAAGGGUUCGGCUGUUCGCCGAUUAAAGCGGCACGCGAGCUGGGUUCAGAACGUCGUGAGACAGUUUGGUCUCUAUCCUCUGCGCUCGUUGGAAUGCUGAGGAGGCCUGCCCAUAGUACGAGAGGACCUGGGUGGACGAACCUCUGGUAUGCCGGUUGUCGCGCCAGCGGCACGGCCGGUUGGCUACGUUCGGGAGGGAUAACCGCUGAAAGCAUCUAAGCGGGAAGCCUGCUCCAAGAUUAGGAUUCCGUACGGUCUUGAACCGUUGUAGCCCGCAUGUUGAACACGUGUUUGAUAGGCCGGAGGUGGAAGCCCCGUGAGGGGUGGAGCCGACCGGUACUAACGGGCGACGGCGACACAAC
rnacentral:rRNA from 1 species